rnacentral:rRNA from 1 species
UACGGGGGGGGCAAGCGUUGUCCGGAAUUAUUGGGCGUAAAGGGCUCGUAGGCGGUUUGUCGCGUCGGGAGUGAAAACCUUGGGCUUAACUCAGGGCUUGCUUUCGAUACGGGCAGACUAGAGGUAUGCAGGGGAGAACGGAAUUCCGUGGUGUAGCGGUGAAAUGCGCAGAUAAUCGGGAGGAACACCUGUGGCGAAGGCGGCCACCUGGACGUUGACUGACCGCUGAGACGCGAAAGCAUGGGGAGCAAACAGGGAUUAAGAAUAAC